rnacentral:rRNA from 1 species
AGCGAACGCUGGCGGCAGGCCUAACACAUGCAAGUCGAACGGAUCCUUCGGGAUUAGUGGCGGACGGGUGAGUAGCACGUGGGAACGUGCCCUUUGGUUCGGAACAACUCAGGGAAACUUGAGCUAAUACCGGAUGUGCCCUUCGGGGGAAAGAUUUAUCACCAUUGGAGCGGCCCGCGUCUGAUUAGCUAGUUGGUGAGGUAAAGGCUCACCAAGGCGACGAUCAGUAGCUGGUCUGAGAGGAUGAUCAGCCACAUUGGGACUGAGACACGGCCCAAACUCCUACGGGAGGCAGCAGUGGGGAAUCUUGCGCAAUGGGCGAAAGCCUGACGCAGCCAUGCCGCGUGAAUGAUGAAGGUCUUAGGAUUGUAAAAUUCUUUCACCGGGGACGAUAAUGACGGUACCCGGAGAAGAAGCCCCGGCUAACUUCGUGCCAGCCGCCGCGGUAA